UACGUAGGGUGCGAGCGUUGUCCGGAAUUAUUGGGCGUAAAGAGCUCGUAGGCGGUGUGUCGCGUCGGCCGUGAAAACCUGGGGCUCAACUCUGGGCGUGCGGUCGAUACGGGGCAUCACUGGAGUUCGGCAGGGGAGACUGGAAUUCCUGGGUGUAGCGGUGAAAUGCGCAGAUAUCAGGAGGAACACCGGUGGCGAAGGCGGGUCUCUGGGACGGUACUGACGCUGGAGACG
rnacentral:rRNA from 1 species